rnacentral:rRNA from 1 species
UACGUAGGGGGCAAGCGUUGUCCGGAUUUACUGGGCGUAAAGAGCGCGUAGGCGGAAGCUUAAGCGGUGCCUGAAAGCCCCCGGCUCAACCGGGGAGGGUGGUGCCGAACUGGGCUUCUUGAGGGCGAUAGAGGAGAGUGGAAUUCCGGGUGUAGCGGUGAAAUGCGUAGAGAUCCGGAGGAACACCAGUGGCGAAGGCGACACGCUGGGCCGUACCUGACACUGAUGCGCGACAGCAUGGGGAGCAAACAGG